GAUGAACGCUGGCGGCGUGCCUAAUACAUGCAAGUCGAGCGAACGGACGAGAAGCUUGCUUCUCUGAUGUUAGCGGCGGACGGGUGAGUAACACGUGGAUAACCUACCUAUAAGACUGGGAUAACUUCGGGAAACCGGAGCUAAUACCGGAUGAUAUUUUGAACCGCAUGGUUCAAAAGUGAAAGACGGUCUUGCUGCCACUUAUAGAUGGAUCCGCGCUGCAUUAGCUAGUUGGUAAGGUAACGGCUUACCAAGGCAACGAUGCAUAGCCGACCUGAGAGGGUGAUCGGCCACACUGGAACUGAGACACGGUCCGGACUCCUACGGGAGGCAGCAGUAGGGAAUCUUCCGCAAUGGGCGAAAGCCUGACGGAGCAACGCCGCGUGAGUGAUGAAGGUCUUCGGAUCGUAAAACUCUGUUAUUAGGGAAGAACAUAUGUGUAAGUAACUGUGCACAUCUUGACGGUACCUAAUCAGAAAGCCACGGCUAACUACGUG
rnacentral:rRNA from 1 species